rnacentral:rRNA from 1 species
CCUACGGGAGGCAGCAGUGGGGAAUAUUGCACAAUGGGGGAAACCCUGAUGCAGCGACGCCGCGUGAGUGAAGAAGUAUUUCGGUACGUAAAGCUCUAUCAGCAGGGAAGAAAAAAAGUCCUUUGGACUUUGGACGGUACCUGACCAAGAAGCCCCGGCUAACUACGUGCCAGCAGCCGCGGGAAAACGUCGGGGGCAAGCGUUAUCCGGAUUUACUGGGUGUAAAGGGAGCGUAGACGGCAGAGCAAGUCUGGAGUGAAAUGCCGGGGCCCAACCCCGGAACUGCUUUGGAAACUGGGCAGCUGGAGUGCAGGAGAGGUAAGCGGAAUUCCUAGUGUAGCGGUGAAAUGCGUAGAUAUUAGGAGGAACACCAGUGGCGAAGGCGGCUUACUGGACUGUAACUGACGUUGAGGCUCGAAAGCGUGGGGAGCAAACAGGAUUAGAUACCCGGGUAGUC